rnacentral:sRNA from 1 species
GCCAGGCAUAGUGGUGCAUGCCUGUAAUCCCAGCAGCUUGAAAGGCUGAGACAGGAGAAUCACAAGUUCAAAGCCAGCCUCAGCAAAGGAGAGGCACUAAACAACUCAGUGAGACCCUGUCUCUA